rnacentral:sRNA from 1 species
CAUGUGUGUGGCCGCCUCAGACAAGAGACCCAGGAGCAUCCCCUUAGUGCAGGUGCUGCGGACUACGGCCCUGACCAGCGCCUGCGCGGAGCACUCGGACCAGCGGGUGGUCUACUUGGAGCACGUGGUGGUUCGCACCUCCAUCUCACACCCACGCCGAGGAGACCUCCAGAUCUACCUGGUUUCUCCCUCGGGAACCAAGUCUCAACUUCUGGCAAAGAGGGAAGUUGAAAGAAUGGAGCCUCAUACUGUAUGGCACAGUGGAGCACCCGUACCACACCUUCAGUGCCCAUCAGUCCCGCUCGCGGAUGCUGGAGCUCUCGGCCCCAGAGCUGGAGCCACCCAAGGCUGCCCUGUCACCCUCCCAGGUGGAAGUUCCUGAAGAUGAGGAAGAUUACACAGGUGUGUGCCAUCCGGAGUGUGGCGACAAAGGCUGUGAUGGCCCCAAUGCAGACCAGUGCUUGAACUGCGUCCACUUCAGCCUGGGGAGUGUCAAGACCA